UUGCAUAAACUGACUAAAUUUGCUUGCUCUUUGUACGUAUUUCAGAGGCAACCAUUCUUUGCUUUCAAUAGGACAGAAGAGCUCCUUGGCACUGGAACCCUCCUGGUCCGGUGAGGGAGGGAUGAGGGUCGCUCGUGUAUGAGGAUACACGGCCAUCAUCCAAAACUUCCCAGUUCAGGUGGAAGGAAGAGGUUGGACCAGAACUUGGGAUCUGCGUUGCCCAAAGGAUGGUUCAGACGGUGUGAGUGAGUCACAGAAGGUAAGCUAUGCUCAAGAACUUUCAAAAGUUAUUUUUCCGGUUUGUCCAUUCUUAUCUCCAUGGAGGACAAAUAGGUUCGUUACGCUUUUAUUCCAACUGCUCUACGUCUUGCAAUAGCUAGUUGUGCGAUCCUGUAAUUUAAUAACUCUGUGCUUCAGUUUCUGCAAAAACAAAAA
rnacentral:lncRNA from 1 species